GUCGCACUUCCGGCCAAAGUCGCAGGGGGCCGGGGCAACCACGCAGUUUCGCCCUAGCGACGGGGCGGGGGCGGGGCCUGCGCUGUCAAUCUGUAGGCCACGGCCCUCGCAUGUGCUGUCGGGCGGGAGAAGGUUUAAAAAGUAAUAGAAGGGGCUUCCCUGGUGGCUCAGUGGUAAAGAAUCUGCCUGCCAAUGCAGAAGACACUGGUUUGAUCCCUGGUCCUGGAUGAUCCCACAUCCUAUGGAGCAACUUAGCCUGUGUGCCACAACUAUUGAGACUGUGCUCUGGAAUAAAAGUCACAGCACUGAAAAGCCGAGUGCCACAAUGGGAGAGUAGUCCCCGCUUGCAGCAACUAGAAAAACUCCCCACACAGCAAUGAAGACUCAGUACAGCCAAAAAUAAAUAGGUAAGUUUAGCGACCCCAUGGACUGCAGCCCACCAGGCUCCUCCGUCCAUGGGAUUUUCCAGGCAAGAGUACCGGAGUGGGGUGCCAUGGCCUUCUCCGUUUUAAAAAGUAAUAGACCUCAAACCUCAUCUUGUAGCCUACAGAACUGGCAUCAUCUUCAAGCAGUUGUCCUUUUACUCACUGAGUGCCCUCUGUGUAGCAGGCCCCAGGUGAGAUGCAGCAGACAGGGCGGUGAUGUAAACAGUUUGGACCUCAUGUCUUUGUGAUUCUCUCAUGUUGAAACGUGAAAGAAGAGGAGUCAGAAAGAGAGGUAGGAGAACGUUUUGGGCAGAAGGAAAAGCAAGUGCAAAGGCUAUGAGGUGGGAACAAAUGGGUCAGCCUGUGUGGUUGGAGCUGAGUGUUGAGAUCAGAGGUCAGAAGGGACAGACUCAUCAAAGUGUGAUUGUUAUAUGCAUGGUAAAAUACAUAAGAUUGCUAUUUCGA